UUAAAAAUACAAAAAGCAUAUGUAUUAGCAAUUAAAAACACUAUCGUCACCUUUUUCCCCUCAAAUGCUUAAUUUGAUCAUCCCUAUUUACCCAGAUUAUUAUUUGUCGAAGGAGGAGUUCAACCCACUACUGUAUCAUUGUCAAGUAGCCAGUUCACGAGGUUAGAAAGAAGAGAAGGUCACAGAAGAAGAGAAGAGAAGAAGGUCACACAUUGGAGAGAAGGUUAUAGAUGGGACAAUGGAUACACUGGAUGAUGUUACAGUGUCAAUUUUUAAGGCUGCUAACAUCAAUGAGGUGUUGAUGCACUCCCUCACUCGUGAUGAUUUGAGAGACCUUUUUCCUGGGCCAGAACACUUUCUUAGGAGAAAAAGAGUGUGGUCUUUCAUCAGCCCAGAGGACGAGAAUCCUAUCUUAAAAGAUAAAGAUGGCCCUUCUGAAACAGGAACUCCACCUUGUAGAAAACAUAGUCUCCCUCCAACAUCCACUCCUUUGGAGAAAAACCGCCCAAAGUUGACCCUACAGCUACCUAGUCCACCAGAGUAUGUGAUCUACACGGACAGUGAGUUGGAACAAGCUCGUAGACAUUACUUUGAGAUGGCCCGCACAGGCAGAGAGAGGGAAUGUGUAAUGUCCAAGGAGUUGAGUUGCAGGCUAGUGAGGAACACACUCACCAGCAUGAUUUCCAUCCUGAGAGCAAGUCCACAAGGAGAAGAGCUUCACUACCCUUCCAACCCUGAACUCACAGCCAUGGCUCAGAAAGUAGUGGAGUAUUAUCCCAUGUUACAAGACAAAGAUGAAGCUGUGAAACAUACAACCAUUCACAAUAAACUUAAAAAGAGGCUUCUAAACGUAAAGUCUCCGCAAAAGAGGCAAGGGCCUGCACAAGAGAGGGGCCGUCCAAAGAAGAGGCGUUGCCUUGACUUGUCAGCAAGUGACUCAGAAAAGAUUAUGAUGCUGACUCAAGUGACGCAGGUGGAUCAACAAUUAUUUUGGAUCAGACUCUUAACAGUUCUGAUGAAAAUGAAAGUACAUCUUCCACAGUAGCCCGCUCGGGCCGCCGGCUGCCCAAUUACACCGCGGACCAGCGAUCCAGUAUGGUCAUCCGUUCUCCCAAUUCACACCAGGGAGCCAAAAAGCAGCUGGUAAAGGCCCUCCACGGUACACUUUACCCAGCAGAGGACCCAGAGCCCGGGGAGGAAGAAGAGGUGGACAAGGAUAGUCUGCAAGCACAGGCCAGGCAUUUUAAGACUGCAUGAGAUGUACAAGAAUAAAAAACAAAACAAAGAUGCUGUCUCUCAACUCCUUGAUCUCGAGUUUGAAGCAAGAAGACUGUUCAUUCACAGUGAUGUCCUGAAAGUGGAGGACAGGCACACAAAGGUCCUGGAUGCCUAUCCAUGCUUCAAGGAUCUUCAGAAUGUGAUGUCUGAGCUGCGUCGCAUCCUGGAUAAAGACAACCACAAAUACAUAGCACAAGUAAAGAAGAGAUGGGACGACUUUGUUGCUAAAGUGCAGUUUUACGGAGUUUUGAAGAAAGCGAUGAAACCACCUAUGACCCUGGAUCGUGUGGAAUUCUCGAUUGCCUUGUUCAAGGCACUCCCUACACUCUUUCCUUCACCAGCUGCACCGCCUAAGAAAUUGGGACAUGCCAUUGAUACAUGUUCUUCAGCCCACAGAAGAUCCCACCGUCUACCUCCAGAAGAGAUCUCUGUCCAGCCCCAUCUUACUUGUUGAUGACUCCAACUGCCUUGUCGCCAUAGGAACCACUCCCAUCACUACAUUUGCCAAGCAAGACCUGCAUGAGGGUUUGCUAUAUCUAAUGGCCUAUUACUACACAAUACAUCUCACUUAUCCGAAGUGUGUUGCAACCAUCCUUUCUGUUAUUCAAACAGAAAUAUUGAAGGAUACUAUCCAUGACCGAGACGCCACAGCCUCAUACAAAAAAGCCAUGGCUGAGUGGAAAGCUUUUAUUGGGGAGUAGAUCUUGGUGGUAGUUAGGUUCCCAACCUGUUUCUACAAUGCUCACCCGCAAUGUCUAUGGGAGAGAAUAACAUCCCAGAAAACAACUCAUGUACAAAAACAAAAAUGCAAUAGUCAGCCCAUCAUUUCCUUCCAGCCCUCCUUUCCUCAAACUGCAGGUAGCUGCACCUUCAAAGUAAGGGUCACUUGCCAUAGCCACCUCUCUGUGGGCAUUGCCCAUAUUCAGCCAGCAGGUUUUCCACCUUUUGUUUUUAAGGUGCAACUAGCAAUACAAAUUUGAUCAUUGCACUUUACAAAUGAUCAGCUGAAAAUUGCAACUUUGCUCUUUGUAAUGUAAUUAAAAAGCCAGUCAUUUUUAGGUCUAUAUAUUGAGUCGUGCCCAUUUGCUGGGCACAACUCAUGCUCGCUUAGACAUAUACAAUGUGGGUGAGCUAGGUGGUAGUUGGGCUAGUUAUUGUUAACAAUUGAUACUGGUACCAGUAUCUGUUUUUGCAUUGAUACUUUGGACACAAGAGACAUGACUUUCUAUCAUUCAGUGUUUGAGAAUUUUUGUUCAACAAUAAGAGAAAACAAUAAUAUUGAAGCUCUUAAGUUAUAAUUCUUCAUUUUUGGUUAUCUAACACAAAGUAAUGUUGAGUGGUUUUCAAUGUUAUAAUUUAAGUUUAAAAUUAUCGUCAUGAUUAAUUCAUACGUUUUGUAAAAUGCAUGCUAGGUUCUUGUUUUGAGAUCUGUCUACUUGAAUUCAGAAAUAAACAAAUGGUAAAAGAAAA